AGUGUGCGUUGAGGCGCCGAGGGGAGCUGACGUGUGCCGCUUUGUUUCGUUUCCCCUCAGUCUCGCCCUCGUUCGCGCCGCUGCCGCUACACCCUCACGCGGACAAUGCGCGGUUCAUUCUGAGGAAGUAUGAUUACAUCGGGCAGAAAAUAGAUC